rnacentral:rRNA from 1 species
UACGUAGGUGGCUAGCGUUGUCCGGAUUUACUGGGCGUAAAGAGCGCGCAGGCGGUCGUUCAAGUCGAGUGUGAAAGCCCCCGGCUCAACUGGGGAGGGUCACUCGAUACUGAUCGACUCGAAGGCAGGAGAGGGAAGCGGAAUUCCCGGUGUAGUGGUGAAAUGCGUAGAUAUCGGGAGGAACACCAGUAGCGAAGGCGGCUUUCUGGCCUGUUCUUGACGCUGAGGCGCGAAAGCUAGGGUAGCAAACGGG